AUUGAACGCUGGCGGCAGGCCUAACACAUGCAAGUCGAGCGAGCGGCGGACGGGUGAGUAAGGUCUGGGAAACUGCCUGAUGGCGGGGGAUAACUACUGGAAACGGUAGCUAAUACCGCAUACCAUCAGAUGUGCCCAGAUGGGAAUAGCUAGUAGGUGGGGUAACGGCUCACCUGGGCGACGAUCCCUAGCCGGUCUGAGAGGCUGACCAGCCACACUGGCACUGAGACCCGGACCAGACUCCUACGGGAGGCAGCAGUGGGGAAUAUGGGACAAUGGACGCAAGCCUGAUGCAGCAAUGCCGCGUGUGUGAAGAAGGCCUUCGGGUUGUAAAGCUCUGUCAGCGGGGCGGCGUUACCCGCAGAGAAAGCACCGGCUAACUCCGUGCCAGCCGCCGCGGUAAUAC
rnacentral:rRNA from 1 species